rnacentral:rRNA from 1 species
UACGGGGGGGGCAAGCGUUGUUCGGAAUUACUGGGCGUAAAGGGCUCGUAGGUGGCCAACUAAGUCAGACGUGAAAUCCCUCAGCUUAACUGGGGAACUGCGUCUGAUACUGGAUGGCUUGAGUUUGGGAGAGGGAUGCGGAAUUCCAGGUGUAGCGGUGAAAUGCGUAGAUAUCUGGAGGAACACCGGUGGCGAAGGCGGCAUCCUGGACCAACACUGACACUGAGACUCGAAAGCGUGGGGAGCAAACAGG